UUAAGUUCAGCGGGUAGUCCUACCUGAUUUGAGGUCAGAUUUCAAAAGUUGACUGCCACUCUAACGGCGAGUCGAGGGAGGACGCAACAGGGGAACAUCUCAGUCAGAGCGAGGAUGAUACAACGCCCAACGAGUCCGACCCACAGGUCCAACCGACACAUUUGAGGAGAGCAGCCUUGUCGGCAGCAGGCUCCCAUAUC
rnacentral:misc_RNA from 1 species